UACGUAGGGCGCGAGCGUUGUCCGGAUUUAUUGGGCGUAAAGCGUCCGCAGGUGGCACCUCAAGUCUGCUGUCAAAGACCGGGGCUUAACCCCAGAAAGGCAGUGGAAACUGAAGUGCUAGAGUGCAGUAGGGGUAGAGGGAGUUCCCGGUGUAGCGGUGAAAUGCGUAGAGAUCGGGAAGAACAUCGGUGGCGAAAGCGCUCUGCUGGACUGCAACUGACACUCAGGGACGAAAGCUAGGGGAGCGAAUGGG
rnacentral:rRNA from 1 species